rnacentral:rRNA from 1 species
UACGGGGGGGGCAAGCGUUGUUCGGAAUUACUGGGCGUAAAGGGCUCGUAGGCGGCCAACUAAGUCGGAUGUGAAAUCCCCAGGCUUAACCUGGGAACUGCGUCUGAUACUGGAGGGCUUGAGUAUGGGAGAGGGAUGUAGAAUUCCAGGUGUAGCGGUGAAAUGCGUAGAUAUCUGGAGGAAUACCGGUGGCGAAGGCGGCAUCCUGGACCAUUACUGACGCUGAGGCGCGAAAGCUAGGGGAGCAAACGGG